AUGAAUAGUCUUCGAAGAGAUCCUCCUCCGCCUCCCGCCCGACGACCCGGCCUGCCUCCUCCGCGCCUCCCUCGUCUGCAAGGCCUGGGGUUGCGCCGUCUCCCGCCCAGGAUUCCGCCGCCGCCUCCACGAGCUCCACCGGGCACCCCCCGUGCUCGGCUUCCUCCACGGCUGCGACGACGACCGCAUCCCCCACUUCACCCCCACCACCGCGUCGUCCUUCUCCCUCGCCGCUCCGGACUCUCGCUCCUGGCGGGCCCUUGA
rnacentral:rRNA from 1 species